UACGUAGGGUGCAAGCGUUAAUCGGAAUUACUGGGCGUAAAGCGUGCGCAGGCGGUUAUGCAAGACAGAUGUGAAAUCCCCGGGCUUAACCUGGGAACCGCAUUUGUGACUGCAUAGCUGGAGUACGGCAGAGGGGGAUGGAAUUCCGCGUGUAGCAGUGAAAUGCGUAGAUAUGCGGAGGAACACCGAUGGCGAAGGCAGUCCCCUGGGCCUGUACUGACGCUCAUGCACGAAAGCGUGGGGGAGCAAACAGG
rnacentral:rRNA from 1 species